rnacentral:rRNA from 1 species
GAUGAACGCUGGCGGCGUGCUUAACACAUGCAAGUCGAACGGAAAGGCCCAAGCUUGCUUGGGUACUCGAGUGGCGAACGGGUGAGUAACACGUGGGUGAUCUGCCCUGCACUUCGGGAUAAGCCUGGGAAACUGGGUCUAAUACCGGAUAGGACGAUGGUUUGGAUGCCAUUGUGGAAAGUUUUUUCGGUGUGGGAUGAGCUCGCGGCCUAUCAGCUUGUUGGUGGGGUAAUGGCCUACCAAGGCGUCGACGGGUAGCCGGCCUGAGAGGGUGUACGGCCACAUUGGGACUGAGAUACGGCCCAGACUCCUACGGGAGGGAGCAGUGGGGAAUAUUGCACAAUGUGCGCAAGCCUUAUGCAGCGACGCCGCGUGGGGGAUGACGGCCUUCGGGUUGUAAACUCCUGUCGCUAGGGACGAAGCGUUUUUGUGACGGUACCUGGAGAAGAAGCACCGGCUAACUACGUG